CUAAGCUACUAAGAGCAAACGGUGGAUGCCUUGGUGUCAAGUGAAGAAGAAAGACGUGGAAAGCUGCGAUAAGCUUCGGGGAGGAGCUAAACAUCCUUUGAUCCGGAGAUUUCUGAAUGGGGCAACCUGGCGUGAUUAAUAUUACGUCAUCCUUAGGUGAAUACAUAGUCUAAGGAGGUUAACGGGGAGAACUGAAACAUCUUAGUACCCCCAGGAAAAGAAAGUAAAAACGAUUUCCUUAGUAGCGGCGAGCGAACGGGAACCAGCCCAAACCAUUUACGUGUCAAGCCCGAAAGCGUUGCGUAAAUGGGGUCGUGGGAUACAGAUUGACAAAGUUUCGGAUUUGUCGGUAAGUCAAAAAAUUAAUUGUUAGUUGAAUAAGCUGGAAAGCUUGAGCAAAGAGGGUGACACUCCUGUAAACGAAAACAAUCAAUCUUACUUUUUGUAUUCCCAAGUACUGCGGAACACGAGAAAUUCUGUGGGAAUUUGUGUGGACCAUCACAUAAGGCUAAAUACAACUUGGCAACCGAUAGCGUACCAGUACCGUGAGGGAAAGGUGAAAAGUACCCCUGUUAGGGGAGUGAAAUAGUACCUGAAACCGUUUGUUUACAAGCAGUGGAAGCAGAUACUUGUAUUUGCGACCGCGUGCCUUUUGCAUAAUGAGUCAGCGAGUUACUUAAUGCAGCAUAGGUUAAGCCGAUAGGUGUAGCCGUAGCGAAAGCGAGUCUGAAUAGGGCGACAAGUUGCAUUGAGUAGACCCGAAACCAGGUGAUCUAUCCAUGGUCAGGGUGAAGCGUAAGUAAAAUUACGUGGAGGCCCGAACCGUCACAGGUUAAAAACUGUUCGGAUGAACUGUGGAUAGGGGUGAAAGGCCAAACAAACCUGGAGAUAGCUGGUUCUCUUCGAAAUAUAUUUAGGUAUAGCCUUAUGAGUUUCUUGUCGGAGGUAGAGCACUGGAUGGGCUAAGGGUCUCACCAGAUUACUAAACCUAACCAAACUCCGAAUACCGACAAGUUAGAUCAUAGGAGUCAGCCCGCGGGAGCUAAGUUCCGCGGACGAGAGGGAAACAACCCAGACCGCCAGCUAAGGUCCCCAAAUCUAUGCUAAGUGGAGAAGGAUGUGGGAAUGCCCAGACAACCAGGAGGUUGGCUUAGAAGCAGCCAUCCUUUAAAGAAAGCGUAACAGCUCACUGGUCGAGUGGAUCUGCGCCGAAAAUGUAGCGGGGCUAAAGCAUAGUACCGAAGCUGCGGGAUGUAUUUAUACAUCGGUAGAAGAGCGUUGUGCCGUCAUAGAAUCGUGGCCGUGAGGCCAUGUGGAGAUUGCACAAGUGACCAUGCUGACAUGAGUAGCGAUAAAGCGGGUGAGAGGCCCGCUCGCCGUAAGCCCAAGGUUUCCUGAGUAAAGCUAAUCUGCUCAGGGUUAGUCGAUCCCUAAGGCGAGGCCGAAAGGCGUAGUCGAUGGAAAACAGGUUAAUAUUCCUGUACCACCUCGUUGUUGUUUGAGAGAAGGGGGGACGCAGAAGGGCAAGUCAUCCGUCUGUUGGAAUAGGCGGUUUAAGCUUGUAGGCUGGUUGAAUAGGCAAAUCCGUUCAACUAAGGCUGAGAAGUGAUGAGGAGGGAUUUAUCCCAUAAACUGACUGCACCCAUACUGCCAAGAAAAGCCUCUAUUGAGACAACAGGUGAUCGUACCGUAAACCGACACAGGUAGGCAGGGAGAGUAUCCCGAGGCGCUUGAGAGAACUCUGGUUAAGGAACUCGGCAAAAUAAUACCGUAACUUAGGGAGAAGGUAUGCCCUUUUUAGUGAUUAAAAUACUUUAUGAAGCUUUAAGGGGCCGCAGAGAAUUGGUGGUAGCGACUGUUUACUAAAAACAUAGGACUCUGCAAAGUCGCAAGACGAGGUAUAGGGUCUGACGCCUGCCCGGUGCCGGAAGGUUAAGGGGAUUUGUUAGCAUUUAUGCGAAGCACUGAACUGAAGCCCCGGUAAACGGCGGCCGUAACUAUAACGGUCCUAAGGUAGCGAAAUUCCUUGUCGGGUAAGUUCCGACCUGCACGAA
rnacentral:rRNA from 1 species